rnacentral:rRNA from 1 species
UACAGAGGGGGCGAGCGUUGUUCGGAAUUACUGGGCGUAAAGGGCGCGUAGGCGGCCAACUAAGUCAGACGUGAAAUCCCUCGGCUCAACCGGGGAACUGCGUCUGAUACUGGAUGGCUUGAAUUCGGGAGAGGGAUGCGGAAUUCCAGGUGUAGCGGUGAAAUGCGUAGAUAUCGGGAGGAACACCAGUGGCGAAGGCGGUUGCCUGGGGCUUUGCUGACGCUGAUGCGCGAAAGCGUGGGGAGCGAUCCGG